rnacentral:rRNA from 1 species
AGUGAACGCUGGCGGUAGGCCUAACACAUGCAAGUCGAACGGCAGCACAGUAAGAGCUUGCUCUUACGGGUGGCGAGUGGCGGACGGGUGAGGAAUACAUCGGAAUCUACUUUUUCGUGGGGGAUAACGUAGGGAAACUUACGCUAAUACCGCAUACGACCUACGGGUGAAAGCAGGGGAUCUUCGGACCUUGCGCGAUUGAAUGAGCCGAUGUCGGAUUAGCUAGUUGGCGGGGUAGAGGCCCACCAAGUCGGCGAUCGGUAGCUCGACUGAGAGGGUGACCGGCCACCCGGGGCCUGAGGGAAGGCCCAGAGGGGGACGGGAGGAAGCAGGGGGGAAGCUUGCACAAGGGGCGCAGGCGGGAUGAAGAAGGGCUGCGGGUGGGAAGGCCGUUUUCGGGGGAAAAAAAGCGGGCGGGUGAAACCCCGCGUGAUUGACGGUAACCGAAAAAAAAGCACCGGCUAACUACGUG